CAAAACUAAAAACGGACACUAUACCGAGGGGGAGGGGGGGAAAAAAGCAUAACUCAUUUUUUGUUUCUGCUUCAUUCAUUUUUAUUGCCCAAUUGGUUCAUUACAUUAUUUCAAUAACUUUUACAUAGCCAACCAUUUUUAUCACUGUCACGCCAUUUGUAAACCACAUCAGCAAUACAUAAAGCUUUGCUUUUCAAAAAAACUAGACACUUUAGUAACAAUAUUACAAAGGUUUUAGCAUCAAAAUAGAACUGAAAUGGAAAAAAUAAACUUUUAAAGAAUUAGCAUCAUAAAAUUAAUUUAUUCCAAGUAAAAAUACAAAAUAAUAUUAUAAUGACAUUGACCAGAUAUGAAAGUACCUCUGAGGAACUGUAUUAAUGGUUGAGAAAGCACUCUAAAGAAAUACAAAAUAAAAAAAUGAAAAAUAUGUAAAUAUGUUUAAAUUUUUUUUUUCUUAGCAAAAAAUCUCUCUAAAAAUAACAAUGAAAAUUCUCGUCUCCGUACAAAGGCUACAUUUACUAUUGAAAAAAUACCAGCAUGAAGAAAAAGGUACAUAUUUGACAGUAGAAAAUGAUUUUACGGGACCCACAAUGUCUGCAAUGAAAAUAAGUUUGCAAUAAAGAUUUAUGCUUUUUUUUUCUUCUUUUUUUCCAUAUUUUUAUAUAAACAGUACAAACAGUAUUGCACAUAACAAAUAAUCAAGAUUAAGUCUGCCUUCCAAAUAUUGACUAAUUCAAGUCUAACACCAAGAAAAGGCAACCAACUGAACUAAUACAUCCAACAUUUUUUUUUACAUUUUUAUUAAUCAAGUUGUAAGUCAAAACACAUUUUUAAAAAAUAAUUUUUUUUUUCUUCAAAUUUCUAAGGACCCUGUCAACACCCUUUGCUUUAAGAGGGUCAAGCAAAAAACAUUGCACUGUCCCCUGAAAUAGCAAGCAGGUUAAUAUGACACGCGGACAGCUUUUUUUUGUUUUUUGGGGGGUAGGGAGGGGAGAGGGGAUGUACGUAGAUUUACAAAAUGGGGGGAGGGAGAUAAUAUAAUUUAACAAACUAAAAAAAGUCUUCUUUAAAAAAAUACAAACAGAGAAUUCUUUCACAAUUCUGGUCAAUCAUGCAUAAUCAACUUUUGAUUAGAAAUAUACAAAUUAAGGGAGACUAUUAUUCUUAUCUUCCCACUUCUUAGUCAUGACUUCCAGCACCAAAGGACUGUUAUAUUCUAGUUAUGUACAUCAUACACACAGUGUUAUAUACAUACAUACACACACACACACAGAACAUGAAUCAACCAAAUGCUAUACGUAGGUCAGGGGGUAAGAGGAGUGGGGGAGUGUGUGUGUGUGAGGGGGGUGGGGGGAGAGGACAGAUUCUUCAAAACAUUGAUUCUUUCACAUAGUUAGGUAGAUGUUCUUUGUGAGCUGUUCUAUCAUAUUAAAUUUACAAAGCUCAAGUUUCUUCAUAUUCAAAAACAAAUAGGCAAAUGAGCAUGAAAACAAAUGAAAAUAGCAAUCUUAAAUCAUUUUCUUGCAAAACAAUUAAAUUAAAUAUAUAUAUAUUUCUUCCAGAAUAAACUUAGAAAAUAUUUUCUUUUCCUAUAUUCAAAAUUUGAGGUAUUGCAAACUAUCAUAUCAGAACGUUUUCCUUUUUCUUAACAAAAAAAAAAUAAAAAAUGAUAAAAGCCAACUGUGGAAAACUGCCAAGAUACAAAGAGUAGUGCAUAACGACAUACAAUUUUACAGAUGACCUAAAAAAAUUAAAAAGAUUUAUAAAUUUAGUUGAAGAAAAAAAAAAAAUUAUAUAAAACACAUAAGAGCAAGAACUCGCUCCUUCAAUGGGGAGAAAAAAAGAAAAAAAAAAAAAAAGCUUUUAAUGUAAGGUACGUACUGUGAUGUAACCCCAGCACUAAAUAUUUCAAUAAGAAUAUAUCUCUUAAAGCAAUUUAAAAAAAUAUAAAAAUUUUCUGAGCCAUAUAAUUGCAACUAAAUAUAUAUAUAUAUAUAUAUAUAUAUAUAUAUAUA